UCUGGUGACAAUGGCAAGGAGGUCACACCUGUUCCCAUGCCGAACACAGAAGUUAAGCUCCUUAGCGCCGAUGGUAGUUGGACUGAC
rnacentral:rRNA from 1 species